rnacentral:rRNA from 1 species
AUGAAGAUCUUGUCAGUGUCGCAGCUCUCGCCCUGUGUUCUCUUCCUCACCAUCUUGUUCGCUUGGCCGGUGGCCGAGUCGGCGACCAGCCCCGUUGCCGUGCGCGCCGACCUUACGCACGCGGACAGCGGCCGCGGCUUCACCAGGCGCGAGCUUCUCAGCCGGAUGGUCGCCCGGUCAAAGGUCCGCCUGGCCAGCCUGCACUCCCCCGCCCGUCCCGGCGCGGUGACCGCGCCGGUGGCCCGCGGCACCGUCGGCAGAGAGGACAUCAGUUCCGAGUACCUCAUCCACUUCAGCAUCGGCACGCCGCGCCCGCAGCGCGUGGCACUGGAGCUGGACACCGGCAGCGACCUCAUCUGGACGCAGUGCGCUUGCGUGCACUGCUUCGACCAGCCGUUCCCGGUUCUCAACACCUCCGCCUCCCGCACCCUCCGUGAUGUCUUGUGCUCCGACCCUCUCUGCACGCGGGGCGGCCUCCCGCUCUCUCGGUGCGCCGUCAAAGACAACUUCUGCUCGUACGCCUACUACUACGGCGACGGAUCCUUCACCGUGGGCAAGAUCGUCGAGGACACUUUCACAUUCAAGACGCCCCACGGCAAGUGCGGCACGGUUGCCGCCGUGCCGAACCUCCACUUUGGCUGUGGCAUGGACAACAAAGGCACCUUCAACUCGAACGAGUCCGGCAUCGCCGGCUUCGGGCGCGGCCCGAUGUCUCUGCCGUCGCAGCUCAAGGUGCACAGAUUCUCCCACUGCUUGACGACCAUGGUAGAGUUCAGGACCAGCCCGGUGUUCUUGGGGACGCCUGAUGACCUUGAAGCGCACGCCACGGGGCCCAUCCAGUCCACCCCGUUCGUCCCAAACACUGGGGGUGCGCUCAGCUCGUUCUACUAUCUUUCACUCAAAGGCGUCACCAUCGGCAAGACGCGGCUGCCGUUUAACGAGUCAGCUUUUGCGCUCAACGACGAUGGCUCCGGCGGGACGAUCAUGGACUCAGGCACGAGCAUCACGAUCUUCCCGCGGGCCGUGUUCCGAAGCCUCCGGGAGGCGUUCGUGUCGCAGGUGCCGUUACCCAUCGCGAACGACUCCACUGAUGCUGAUAGCAUGCCGUGCUUCGACGUCGCCCCGAAGAAGAAGGUGCCCACAGUGCCGAAGCUAGUCCUCCACCUAGAGGGCGCGGACUGGGACCUGCCACGGGAGAACUACGUGCUCGAUCUCGACGACGACGGCGACGGCACAGGCGGCGGGCUGUGCGUGGUGGUCCAUUCGGCGGGCGAAAGCGACUGGGCGAUCAUAGGCAACUUCCAGCAGCAGAACAUGUACAUCGUCUACGACCUGGACAGCAAUAAGAUGGUCUUCGCGCCCGCGCGCUGCGACAAGCUGUGA